AAAACAUUAGUUCCUAUAUAUGAUCACUGAAGUUAAGCAAUGUUGAGCCUAGUCUGUACCUAGAUGGGUGACCACUUGGGAAUACCAGGGGCUGUA